UAGGCAAAUCCGGGUGGCAAUGGGAAUCCGUGAUGCGGAGCGAAAUAAAGUAGCGAAGUCCGUGAGCCAUGCGUCAAGAAAAGCCGCUAUUGUUUAUACCGUACCCGUACCGUAAACCGACACAGGUGGAUGAGGAGAGAAUCCUAAGGCCGGCGGAAGAAGCAUUGUCAAGGAACUCGGCAAAAUGGCCCCGUAACUUAGGGAUAAGGGGUGCCUGGGAAACCAGGCCGCAGAGAAUAGGCUCAAGCAACUGUUUAGCAAAAACACAGGUCUAUGCGAAACCGAAAGGUGAGGUAUAUGGGCUGACGCCUGCCCGGUGCUGGAAGGUUAAGAGGAGAGGUUAGCGCAAACGCGAAGCUUUGAAUUUAAGCCCCAGUAAACGGCGGCCGUAACUAUAACGGUCCUAAGGUAGCGAAAUUCCUUGUCGGGUAAGUUCCGACCCGCACGAAAGGCGUAAUGAUUUGAGCGCUGUCUCGACAAUGCAUCCGGUGAAAUUGAAGUACCAGUGAAGAUGCUGGUUACCUGCGCCAGGACGGAAAGACCCCAUGGAGCUUUACUCCAGUCUGGUACUGGGACUCGGUAUUGCAUGUACAGGAUAGGUGGGAGGCUAGGAGAUGGUAACGCCAGUUGCCAUGGAGCCGCUGUUGGGAUACCACCCUUGCAGUAUUGGGUUUCUAACCAGCCGCCGUGACCCGGCGGUGGGACAAUGCCAGACGGGGAGUUUGACUGGGGCGGUCGCCUCCGAAAGGGUAUCGGAGGCGCCCAAAGGUUCCCUCAGAAUGGACGGAAACCAUUCGAAGAGUGCAAAGGCAGAAGGGAGCUUGACUGCGACACCGACGGGUGGAGCAGGUACGAAAGUAGGGCUUAGUGAUCCGGUGGUAUUAAGUGGGAAUGCCAUCGCUCAACGGAUAAAAGCUACCCUGGGGAUAACAGGCUUAUCACUCCCAAGAGUUCACAUCGACGGAGUGGUUUGGCACCUCGAUGUCGGCUCAUCGCAUCCUGGGGCUGUAGUAGGUCCCAAGGGUUGGGCUGUUCGCCCAUUAAAGCGGUACGCGAGCUGGGUUCAGAACGUCGUGAGACAGUUCGGUCCCUAUCCGGCGUGGGCGUAGGAUAUCUGAGAGGAGCUGUCCUUAGUACGAGAGGACCGGGAUGGACGGGCCGCUGGUGCAUCGGUUAGACUGCCAAGUCUACGGCCGAGUAGCCAAGCCCGGAAGGGAUAAACGCUGAAGGCAUCUAAGCGUGAAGCCCCCCUUAAGAUGAGAUAUCCCAUUCGUAAGAAGUAAACCCCCUUGAAGACGACGAGGUAGAUAGGGCAGAGGUGGAAGUG
rnacentral:rRNA from 1 species